AUAGCUUCAGUUACAGACCCUGGACUUUACAGUUCUGGCACAAUAUCACUUUAUCUGGCAGAAAUGUGUUGCAAGGGGUUGAAAUGAGGGCAGCUUCGAAGAAUGACACUGUGAUGAAUUUAUGCAUUUGAACUCUAUAUCAAACAUGGCCUCCGAGUCGGAGUGGGAACGAGACACUGCACAUGAAGCUCCACGAGGGGAGCGUGGAGAUCUGGGGGCCUUACAGGGACUGUCCUGAGGGGAGAAGACACGCGGCGUCCCUCCUUCAGAGUGACGGAGAGGUAUUUCCUGCUGCAUCUACAGAUGCUGUUUUUAAGAUGUAUUUUAACACUUUUGGGACAUCCUAUGCAUCCUCUUUGCAUUAAUGACAGUCCAAUUUAAUAUUUCUAUUUGAAAAAAUUUAUAACAGUGUUCAACAAAGGUACAGUCUCCUUUCAAUACCCUGACGAUGACACGGACAUCGUUUUGGCAAAAAUAUUCACUGCUUAUUGAAUUUCAACAGCAGUAGCAACAUUUCAUUUUAAUUUCCCUGUGAACAACAACAAUAAAAGGUUCUGCUAAUGCACCUAACUUAAUAAAGACGGGCUUAUUAUUCUUCAAUAAAUGUUGUUCAAUUUCCUCAAUUGUGUGUCUUCAUCUUGAAUGUUACAUGUUUGUGUUAAUAUUGCUGUUCAUUUCAAUUCUGCAAAAAGAAAUAGUUUAUGUAUAGUUUAUUUGUACAGAACUGACCACAUCAACACUCAUACAGUGAGUCCUCAUGUUGAGGAUGGAGACUAGAAAGUAGUAAAAUAACUGAGUUACAGAUCAAUAAUUUUUAUAUUAUUUAGUUAUGAGUACUAGCCAUGGAUCAAGCAAAGCAGCAAACACCAGAGUGUCCUAAUAUCUAUUAAAAAAUGUUUAUAUAACAGGAUAAUGUUUCAGCUCCUUUUUAUGUCUUCUUAUUUCCUUUUAAGUUUUGUUUCUUCCUUAAAAUAAAAGUCUUCAAUCCUG